GUAGUCAUAUGCUUGUCUCAAAGAUUAAGCCAUGCAUGUCUAAGUAUAAGCAACUUUGUACUGUGAAACUGCGAAUGGCUCAUUAAAUCAGUUAUAGUUUAUUUGAUUAUAUUUACCUACUUGGAUAACCGUGGUAAUUCUAGAGCUAAUACAUGCUAAAAAUCCCGACUUCUGGAAGGGAUGUAUUUAUUAGAUAAAAAACCAACAGAGGUUAACGCCUCUUUUUUGGUGAUUCAUAAUAACUUUUCGAAUCGCAUGGCCUUGAGCUGGCGAUGUUUCAUUCAAAUUUCUGCCCUAUCAACUUACGAUGGUAGGAUAGUGGCCUACCAUGGUUUCAACGGGUAACGGGGAAUUAGGGUUCUAUUCCGGAGAGGGAGCCUGAGAAACGGCUACCACAUCCAAGGAAGGCAGCAGGCGCGCAAAUUACCCAAUCCCGACACGGGGAGGUAGUGACAAUAAAUACUGAUACAGGGCCCUUUUGGGUCUUGUAAUCGGAAUGAGUACAAUUUAAAUCUCUUAACGAGGAACAAUUGGAGGGCAAGUCUGGUGCCAGCAGCCGCGGUAAUUCCAGCUCCAAUAGCGUAUAUUAAAGUUGUUGCAGUUAAAAAGCUCGUAGUUGAACCUUGGGUCUGGCUGACCGGUCCGCCUCACCGCGUGCACUGGCUCGGCCGGACCUUUCCUUCUGGCAAACCACAUGCCCUUUAUUGGGUGUGUUGGGGAACCAGGACUUUUACUUUGAAAAAAUUAGAGUGUUCAAAGCAGGCAUAUGCUCGAAUACAUUAGCAUGGAAUAAUAGAAUAGGACGUGCGGGUUCUAUUUUGUUGGUUUCUAGGACCGCCGUAAUGAUUAAUAGGGAUAGUCGGGGGCAUCCGUAUUC
rnacentral:rRNA from 1 species